UACGUGGGGCGCAAGCGUUGUCCGGAAUUAUUGGGCGUAAAGAGCUCGUAGGCGGUUUGUCGCGUCUGCUGUGAAAUCCCGAGGCUCAACCUCGGACUUGCAGUGGGUACGGGCAGACUAGAGUGUGGUAGGGGGAGACUGGAAUUCCUGGUGUAGCGGUGGAAUGCGCAGAUAUCAGGAGGAACACCGAUGGCGAAGGCAGGUCUCUGGGCCAUUACUGACACUGAGAAGCGAAAGCAUGGGGGAGCGAACAGG
rnacentral:rRNA from 1 species